rnacentral:sRNA from 2 species
AAGAAAAUAUUGCCGAAUUUCUGUCGUAGAAAACGGGGGAACCAUUUUUGGGUGAAUUGGUCUCGCUUUAGAGUGAUCAUAGGGAACCUUCAACCGAACCCUUCAGCUAACCUCGUAGGCACCGGAAGGGGAAACU